rnacentral:miRNA from 1 species
CAGAUUGCAGACUUGGCUUC